rnacentral:rRNA from 1 species
UACGUAGGGUGCGAGCGUUAAUCGGAAUUACUGGGCGUAAAGCGCGCGCAGGCGGUUUUGUAAGCCAGAUGUGAAAGCCCCGGGCUUAACCUGGGAAUGGCAUUUGGGACUGCAAGGCUUGAGUGCGGCAGAGGAGACUGGAAUUCCCGGUGUAGCAGUGAAAUGCGUAGAUAUCGGGAGGAAUACCGAUGGCGAAGGCAGGUCUCUGGGCUGACACUGACGCUCAUGCACGAAAGCGUGGGGAGCAAACAGG